rnacentral:rRNA from 1 species
UUGCUGCCUCUCUAAAUUGGGAGGGUAUUAUGUUCUUCCUAAAGGCUAAAUACCCGGCCAGAGGACCGAUAGCGGCACCAAGUAGAGUGAUCGAAAGAUGAAAAGAACCUUUGAAAAAGAGAGUUAAACAGUACGUGAAAUUGUUGAAAGGGAAGCGCUUGUGACCAGACCUUGGGCCUUGGGUUGAUCAUCCGGGGUUCUCCCCGGUGCACUCUUCCGGCCCAGGCCCAGCAUCAGUUCGCCCUGGGGGACAAAGGCUUCGGGAAUGUGGCUCUCUCCGGGGAGUGUUAUAGCCCGUUGCGUAAUACCCUGUGGCGGACUGAGGUUCGCGCAUUCGCAAGGAUGCUGGCGUAAUGGUCAUCAGUGACCCGUCUUGAAACACGGACCAAGGAGUCGUCUUCGUAUGCGAGUGUUCGGGUGUCAAACCCCUACGCGAAAUGAAAGUGAACGCAGGUGAGAGCUUCGGCGCAUCAUCGACCGAUCCUGAUGUUAUCGGAUGGAUUUGAGUAAGAGCAUACGGGGCCGGACCCGAAAGAAGGUGAACUAUGCCUGUGUAGGGUGAAGCCAGAGGAAACUCUGGUGGAGGCUCGCAGCGGUUCUGACGUGCAAAUCGAUCGUCAAACAUGGGCAUGGGGGCGAAAGACUAAUCGAACCUUCUAGUAGCUGGUUUCCGCCGAAGUUUCCCUCAGGAUAGCAGUGUUGAACUCAGUUUUAUGAGGUAAAGCGAAUGAUUAGGGACUCGGGGGCGCUAUUUAGCCUUCAUCCAUUCUCAAACUUUAAAUAUGUAAGAAGCCCUUGUUGCUUAAUUGAACGUGGGCAUUCGAAUGAAUCAACACUAGUGGGCCAUUUUUGGUAAGCAGAACUGGCGAUGCGGGAUGAACCGAACGCGAGGUUAAGGUGCCAGAGUAGACGCUCAUCAGACACCACAAAAGGUGUUAGUACAUCUUGACAGCAGGACGGUGGCCAUGGAAGUCGGAAUCCGCUAAGGACUGUGUAACAACUCACCUGCCGAAUGUACUAGCCCUGAAAAUGGAUGGCGCUCAAGCGUCUCACCCAUACCUCGCCCUCAGGGUAGAAACGAUGCCCUGAGGAGUAGGCGGACGUGGAGGUCAGUGACGAAGCCUAGGGCGGAGCCCGGGUACGAUAU